UACGUAGGGACCAAGCGUUGUUCGGAUUUACUGGGCGUAAAGGGCGCGUAGGCGGCUUGACAAGUCACUUGUGAAAUCUCCGGGCUUAACUCGGAACGGCCAAGUGAAACUGUCAUGCUAGAGUGCAGAAGGGGCAAUCGGAAUUCUUGGUGUAGCGGUGAAAUGCGUAGAUAUCAAGAGGAACACCUGAGGUGAAGACGGGUUGCUGGGCCGACACUGACGCUGAGGCGCGAAAGCUAGGGGAGCGAACGGG
rnacentral:rRNA from 1 species